AUUGAACGCUGGCGGCAGGCCUAACACAUGCAAGUCGAACGAGCGGCGGACGGGUGCGUAAUGUCUGGGAAACUGCCUGAUGGAGGGGGAUAACUACUGGAAACGGUAGCUAAUACCGCAUACCAUCAGAUGUGCCCAGAGGGGAUUAGCUUGUCGGUGGGGUAACGGCUCACCUAGGCGACGAUCUCUAGCUGGUCUGAGAGGAUGACCAGACACACUGGGACUGAGAAACGGACCAGAAUCCUACGUGAGGAAGCAGUGGGGAAUAGUGCACAAGGGGCGAAAGCCUGAUGCAGCCAUGCCGCGGGUAUGAAGAAGGCCUUAGGAUUGUAAAGUACUGUCAGCAGGGAGGCGUUACCCGCAGAAGAAGCACCGGCGAACUCCGUGCCAGCAGGCGCGGUAAUAC
rnacentral:rRNA from 1 species